AAUCAACGCUGGCGGCACGCUUAACACAUGCAAGUCGCACGAGAAAGGGAGCAAUCCUGAGUAAAGUGGCGCACGGGUGAGUAACACGUGGGUAUCUACCUUUUUGUGGGGAAUAACUUGGGGAAACCCGAGCUAAUACCGCAUAAGCUCGAGAGAGGAAAGCCGAAAGGCGCAGAAAGAGGAGCCCGCGGCUGAUUAGCUAGUUGGUGAGGUAAUGGCUCACCAAGGCUUAGAUCGGUAGCCGGCCUGAGAGGGCACACGGCCACACUGGCACUGAAACACGGGCCAGACUCCUACGGGAGGCAGCAGUGGGGAAUCUUGCACAAUGGAGGAAACUCUGAUGCAGCGACGCCGCGUGAACGAUGAAGCCCUUCGGGGUGUAAAGUUCUUUCGCCAGGAACGAUAAUGACGGUACCUGGAGAAGAAGCUGCGGCUAACUACGUGCCAGCAGCCGCGGUAAUACGUAGGCAGCAAGCGUUGUUCGGAAUUAUUGGGCGUAAAGAGUAUGUAGGUGGUGUCGUAAGUUUGGUGUGAAAUCUCCUGGCUUAACUGGGAGGGUGCGCCGAAGACUGCGAUGCUUGAGUAUGGGAGAGG
rnacentral:rRNA from 1 species